rnacentral:rRNA from 1 species
CACGGGGGAGCAAGCGUUGUUCGGAAUUACUGGGCGUAAAGGGGCGUCUAGGCGGUCAAGUAAGUGGGAUGUGAAAUCCCUCGGCUCACCCGGAGGCACCUGCCUCCCAAACUGCUUGGACGUUGAGUAUGGGAGAGGAUGGAGGGAAGGUUCCUGGUGGUAGGCGGUUGGAAAUGACGUAGAUAUCAGGAGGAACACCGGUGGUGUAGACGGCUUCUGGACCGUAACUGACGCUGAGACACGAAAGCGUGGGUAGCAAACAGG